rnacentral:lncRNA from 1 species
AUUUUUUUUAAAAAAGGUAAACCAAAGGUCUUCAGCUCUAUUUUCUUUUUAAAUUCUAGAUAAGCUGUUGCCAGGUGAUGAAGGAGCCCUUUGGUUGCACCUAAUGCAUUAUUGUGAAGCAUGUACAGCACCCAAAAUGCCAGAGUUCAUUCUGUACACUUUCCAUAGCGCGUACCGGAAACUGCCGUGGAAGGACCUGCACCCUGACCAGAUGCUCAUGGAGGCCUUCUUCAAAGUGGAACGAGGAAGCCCCAAGAGCUGUUUCUUAUUUUUGGGGUCUGUACUCUGUGAAGUCAAUUGGGUUAGUGUGCUCUCUGAUGCCUGGAAUCCCAGUCCCCACCCAGAAACCCGCAGCAUGAUUGUCUGCCUCCUUUUCAUGAUGAUUUUAUUGGCAAAGGAAGUUCAACUGGUAGACCAAACAGAUUCACCUUUACUUAGUCUUCUUGGACAGACAAGCUCACUUUCAUGGCAUCUCGUGGAUAUUGUGUCGUACCAGAGUGUGCUAGGUUAUUUCAGCAGCCAUUACCCGCCGUCCAUCAUCCUGGCAAAAGAAUCUUACGCUGAAUUAAUCAUGAAGCUCCUAAAAGUGUCUGCGGGCCUUUCUAUUCCUGCUGACAGCCAGAAGCAUCUUGACGCAGUUCCAAAAUGCCAAGCUUUUACUCAUCAGAUGGUUCAAUUCCUCAGCACCCUGGAACAAAAUGGAAAAAUCACCUUAGCAGUCCUAGAACAGGAAAUGUCUAAGCUCUUAGAUGAUAUCAUUAUCUUUAACCCACCCGAUAUGGAAAGCCAGACCCGCCACAUGGCCCUCAGCAGCCUCUUUAUGGAAGUCCUGAUGAUGAUGAACAACGCGACUAUUCCAACGGCAGAGUUCCUUCGGGGCAGUAUCCGGACCUGGAUUGGCCAAAAAAUGCAUGGGCUGGUGGUGCUGCCCCUUUUAACGGCAGCCUGCCAGAGCCUGGCGUCCGUCCGCCACAUGGCUGAGACUACAGAAGCCUGCAUCACUGCCUACUUCAAAGAAAGCCCUCUCAAUCAGAACUCAGGAUGGGGGCCCAUUCUGGUAUCCCUUCAGGUUCCCGAGCUCACCAUGGAAGAGUUCCUGCAGGAGUGCCUUACCCUGGGCAGUUACUUGACUCUUUACGUCUACCUGCUUCAGUGUUUAAACAGCGAACAGACUCUAAGGAACGAAAUGAAAGUGCUGCUCAUCUUAAGCAAGUGGCUGGAACAGGUGUACCCAAGCUCCGUGGAGGAAGAGGCAAAGCUGUUUUUGUGGUGGCACCAAGUCCUUCAGCUCUCCCUCAUUCAGACAGAGCAGAAUGACUCCGUCCUGACAGAAUCUGUCAUUCGAAUUCUGCUCAUGGUUCAGAGCAGGCAGAACCUCGUGGCUGAGGAGAGGCUCAGCUCUGGGAUCCUGGGAGCAAUUGGGUUGGGCCGGAAGUCGCCUUUGUCUAACAGGUUCCGAGUGGUUGCCCGAAGCAUGGCUGCCUUCCUUUCAGUUCAGGUUCCUAUGGAAGAUCAGAUCCGUUUGAAGCCUGGCUCUGAAUUACAUCUGACUCCCAAAGCUCAGCAGGCUCUGAAUGCUCUUGAAUCCAUGUCAUCAAGUAAGCAGUAUGUUGAAUACCAGGAUCAAAUAUUGCAAGCCACCCAAUUUAUAAGGCAUCCUGGCCAUUGCCUUCAAGAUGGGAAAAGCUUCUUGGCUCUUCUCGUUAACUGUCUGUAUCCAGAAGUGCAUUAUUUGGACCACAUACGAUAGUAGCACUGAAGCUCUUGAAAAACCCAUUGCUGUUUAUGUUUACAUUUAACUUUCCUGUUGCACAAGUAACUUUGCUCAAUUUCACUGUAGAGCUCAGUUCGGCCCGUGUGUAGUUGACUGAGAUGCAAGUUGGGAGGCAUUAGAUAUUAGAUAAUUCUGAUUUUCCUGUUGCACAAGUAACUUUGCUCAAUUUCACUGUAGAGCUCAGUUCGGCCCGUGUGUAGUUGACUGAGAUGCAAGUUGGGAGGCAUUAGAUAUUAGAUAAUUCUGAGGGGUGUGUGUGUGUCUGUGUGUGUGUGUGUGUGUGUGUGUGUGUGUGCGCGCGCGCUUUCUUAGUUCUUAAGACCUUCUGGAGACUCUUUCGGUUUUUAUAUUUAUCCACAAGAGAAACUUACUAAGUUCCACUUGGGUACAGAGCCACUCACAGUUGCCGAAUGUCUCAGUCAUCUCACAAGACCUCCAGAUGAAGUUCUUUGUAUGUUUCCACUUCUGUCUCCAUUUUAUGUAAGUGUUCCAGAUCUGACAACCUUGGAAGUCACAUAGUACCUUUACUUUUAAACCCCAUUUGUGCUCCUCCAAAGUAAAAAAGUCAAUUUUGAAAAUUUCUGCAUUUCUCAAAUGUGGGGAGAUACAAUAGUUUUAAAGUAUUGUUUUUCUCAGAAGGGAGAUAAAAAUGCUGAGUUCAUUAAACUGGGUCAUGUGUGAAAUAUGACUGAUGAUCAUGAUUAUAGUGGGCAGUAGAGAUGAUGACAAGUCCAUUUCCAUCCAGCCAUGUGUCCUCAUGGAAAAGGAGCUGCCUGUCUGAAUCAGGUUGGCAAGCUGGCAGUCUGGGAGGAGCAUGUUUUACACAGGUGUUUUGUUUGGUCCACUUGGCGAGGCAUGCAGACAGGGCUGCCUCUCUCCAGUUAGGAGAGUCCGUGCAUUCCCUUGGGCCCUGACCCUAGCCUCAUUCACAUCACUUGGUCCUGUUGACACCUAAGUUUGCACUCUUUGAUAGACACCACUUUUGAUAUCUGAAAGGCUCACUGUCAGGAGACAGAGACUGAGGGAGACUGAAGACCUGAUUCUCUGUUCCCUGCUUGUUUUUUAACUUCAUAUUUAAACUCAGAUGAAGCCACUUGUCUACUGAAACACUUAUCUAUGGAAACUGGGUCAGGUCAGGAGAGCUACUGAAAUUUGGCUUUUUUUCAAUAGCCACGUGCCUUCUGUUGUUGACAGUUCAAUCAUUACCAAAGCCUGUGUGUAACUUUGCCUUGUUCUGUGGCCAUCUUCUUGCUCCUGUUAUUUCUCCUGGGAAUGAGCAGUUUGACUUCUGUUAUCACGUUCCUCAUUCUGUCAGCUCUACAUGGAUUUUGCCUGCACAGCUGGCUUAAUAUGUCUUUGUGUAUGGGUAGUUUGUAGCCCUAGAAUAUUUACCUAAAAAUGUCUAAAAAGCCACCAACCACGUUUGUAGGGGUAUAGGGAUGUAGUUAACAGAGUGCUAAUCUCUCCUCAAAUGUCCUUGUGGAAUGCUUCCCCCCAAAUUGGGAAGUUGGUAGGAGCUUUUCUUUACUUUAGAUUUCUUUAGUUGGACGGAACGAUUCUUCCUCACAGACACGCUUUGCAGCUUUGAUAAAGAACAUCCUGUCCAGUCUCUUGAGUUUUACAGGCCACCAAAUGUCCAUCUCAGAGGGACCUGUCUCAGCUUUUCUUAUUUUUGCCUCUCUCUGUUUUCAAAAUUAGUCAUCUUGUUCUGUGUAUAAGAAAAUUUGACAAGCUGUGGACAGUUUAAUAGUCUGAUCUGGCAACACUGAUUUUUGUUUGGAAAUAUUUUGUGUUUUCUUUGAGGAGGAUAUAAUUAUUGCUAUCCUAUGAUGUGAAAUUUUUGAGUGACAGUAUGCACAUUUUAAAGAAAAUUAUGAUUAAUCUGUAUAAUGUUUUUGGUCUGUAAAUAUUAUAAAAAAUAAAAUCAAUCUUUGGUUGUAACUGGUUAAAAACCAAAUUAUAGGGAUAUCACACUAUCUUAUAAAGUGUUUCAGCUGUUAAAGUUGCUGUAGGUUGUUAUGCCUGAUGUCAUUUAAUUUAUUUGACAUUGAACAUUAAUCAUCAGAGAUGGUCAGUGAAAGCGCCUCCUCUUUAACUCUUUCUUGCUUAACCUUGGAAGGUUGACUCAACUCCUAGGUUUCUAUGGGAAACUCUGGGCUAGGAACGUGCUAUAAAGACACUGAGAUAGUUCAGAC